GACGAACGCUGGCGGCGUGCUUAACACAUGCAAGUCGAACGGAAAGGCCCUGCUUUUGUGGGGUGCUCGAGUGGCGAACGGGUGAGUAACACGUGAGUAACCUGCCCUUGACUUUGGGAUAACUUCAGGAAACUGGGGCUAAUACCGGAUAGGAGCUCCUGCUGCAUGGUGGGGGUUGGAAAGUUUCGGCGGUUGGGGGUGGACUCGCGGCUUAUCAGCUUGUUGGUGGGGUAGUGGCUUACCAAGGCUUUGACGGGUAGCCGGCCUGAGAGGGUGACCGGCCACAUUGGGACUCAGAUACGGCCCAGACUCCUACGGGAGGCAGCAGUGGGGAAUAUUGCACAAUGGGCGGAAGCCUGAUGCAGCAACGCCGCGUGCGGGAUGACGGCCUUCGGGUUGUAAACCGCUUUCGCCUGUGACGAAGCGUGAGUGACGGUAAUGGGUAAAGAAGCACCGGCUAACUACGUG
rnacentral:rRNA from 1 species